UACGAAGGGGGCUAGCGUUGCUCGGAAUCACUGGGCGUAAAGCGCACGUAGGCGGCUUUUUAAGUCAGGGGUGAACUCCUGGAGCUCAACUCCAGAACUGCCUUUGAUACUGGGAAGCUUGAGUCCGGAAGAGGUGAGUGGAACUCCGAGUGUAGAGGUGAAAUUCGUAGAUACUCGGAAGAACACCAGUGGCGAAGGCGGCUCACUGGUCCGGUACUGACGCUGAGGUGCGAAAGCGUGGGGAGCAAACAGG
rnacentral:rRNA from 1 species